rnacentral:misc_RNA from 1 species
UCUCCGUUGGUGAACCAGCGGAGGGAUCAUUGCUGGAACAAACGCUCGCAAGAGUGCUACCCAGAAACCCUUUGUGAAUUCUUCUCAAAAACGUUGCCUCGGCAGUGACUGGCUUCUUUCGGAAGUCCCUCUUCGGAGGAGCAGGUCGGCCGGUGGCCCUAUAAACUCUUUGUUUUUUACAAUGUAUCUUCUGAGUAAAACAAACAUAAAUGAAUCAAAACUUUUAACAACGGAUCUCUUGGUUCUGGCAUCGAUGAAGAACGCAGC